CCGACCCCAAAACUUUCUCACUUUGCCUCAAGCCCUAAUAUCCAUUCUCAACCCCAGCAUCACAAACUCGAGCUCCUAAUCAACUUCACGAACCUUCCUCCUCCAUUCUCCGCCGGAAUCUGAAGAGCCGAAAGCCCGACCUCGAUCUGAAAUUGAAGUAACAGCUUUGAAUCCUGAGCCGGCCUCGAUCUGAGAUUGGCAGAGUUGAAGAAAUUGAAGAGGCUCGCUCUGGUCUUCUCCGCCCUCUGCUCCACUCUCCUCCUCGGCCGAAUCCGUCGGCGAUAGGCUCUUCAUCUCACCUUUCCACUACUCCCGAUCUUACGCAACCACCCAAACAUUUCACCAAGACAAAAAAAAAGGCCGCAAAAAGUGGUUCAUUCUACCUCCGUUCACUGCCACCGUAAACGGCGCCGCUUUGGGACGAGAGCUCUCAGAGAUGUGUAUAUUAAACCCUCCACCUCCUCAGCUACGACGGCGCUUAAAUGGGUCACCAGGUGCUGCCCCGAGAUUCCCAGAAGCCUUGUUCAGAAGCUCUUUCGCUUAAGACAGGUUCGAAGAGAAGCAUCUGACAUGGAUCAAUGUGUUAAGGGUAUCUGAAAUUUGUAUUAACUUUUGUUUUGUUUUGUAAUGGACUAAUGGGUAGAGCUCAGAGCUUUUGUUGCAAUUAUAUGGGGUAGUUUUGUUUCUGAUUUCGAUUUUCGUGAAGGUGGGGGCUAAAGACUUGAUGAACUUAGAAGAUCGAAUAUGUCUUCCUAUUUCUGUGAAAGAGUUCCCUGAUGAUAAAUAAGAAGAGGGACAUUAUAGUGAAGAAGAAGUCAAGUUUAUUCGUAGCCUUGUGUUGUAUAAGGUUCAUAACUGUGGUCUCUAUCGCUUGUGUGCAUGUUAAGCUAGUUAUCUUGCUUACACAUGUUAUUUGCAAUUUUUUGUUUAUUAAUAUGCAGAUUCUGUUGUUCCUUGUCUAUUGAAAUUGCCGGCACUGUGUUAUAGAGUAAAUAAAGUGAGAUUCAUCUCUAUUUAUGUUUCAGUUUUACUUGGAUUUGGGUUUAGGAGCAGGAUGACAAGAAGGCCCCUGACUCUGCUGCUAAAGUCAAAGGCGAAUCAGCCAAGAAGGGAUAUGUUGGAAUUCACAUCUCAGGAUUCAGAGAUAUCCUUUUAAAGCCGGAGCUUGGACGCCCGAUUGUGGACUCAAUAUUUGAGCAUCCUUUUGAAGGUAUACUAUUGAAUUCAAUCUUCCCCGGCGACGGUAUGGCCCCGAGAUUGCCGAGUCCGUCAAACAGUGGGAUUUUGUUUGUUUUGGGUUUAUGGGUUUUGUUGGGUUGCUUUUGUUAUGAGCAAUGGGGGACUCAGGUGGAAAAGUGAGGUUGGUUCAGUGCCCAAAGUGUGAGAAUCUUCUUCCUGAGCUAGCUGAUUACUCUAUGUAUCAGUGUGGUGCUGUUCUUAGAGUACAAGGAUUACAGAUUGUGACUGGGAUUACAGAUGGAUGGAGUACCCAGCUCAUGCAAGAACUUCGAGAAAUCCCUUGGAUCAGUCGUUGGCUACAUAUGGAGACCAUUCAGUCAUGCGCACUUUAAUUUGCUGUUAGUUUUCUCCAGCAUAUAGGUUAAGAUAUGGAAUAUUCAGGAAAAGAAAUGUACUGCAGUUCUGAUGGGGCACACUUAGUAUGAAAUCUUUGAGUUUGGCGUACCCAUGCAACUCUUUAUCUUGACUGAAAAUGUGACUAAUCUUUUAACUUGUUCAUAUGUUUCUACGCUAGCAUUUUUAGGUUUGCAGUUUUAUUUUGUGAAUUAUGUUGGAUCAUGAAUUUGGACAUAAUUAAUGGAAUGCCUCAAUUUUUAGAUGA